UACGUAGGGGGCUAGCGUUGUCCGGAGUACUGGGCGUAAAGCGCGCGCAGGCGGCGGUGCUGGCCCGGCGUGAAAGCCCCCGGCUCAACCGGGGAGGGUCGUCGGGGACCGCACCGCUUGAGGGCGGUAGGGGCUGGUGGAAUGCCUGGUGUAGUGGUGAAAUGCGUAGAGAUCAGGCGGAACACCCGUGGCGAAGGCGGCCAGCUGGGCCGUCCCUGACGCUGAGGCGCGAAGGCGUGGGGAGCGAACGGG
rnacentral:rRNA from 1 species